CGUCUACGCGCGGAAUCCCUUCCCGUCUUGCCACUGCUGCGCAGGCGCGGCCGCUGCCUGUUGAGUCGCGCGGCGACGCUUGUGUCAGUGGCCAUCGUGUGUCGAGUCACAGGCGGCUUUCUGGGAGGCGCGGCCGCGAGCGGAAGCUGAGGAGGUGGUCAGGAUUUUUAGGAUUCCUACUUCCUGAUCUCUGUAGGUUCUGUCCGGGUCAGGUUACUCGUGAAAGCCCGAGGAAGUGCUAUUUAUGUAACAUUUUGUGAAUAAGAAAGUUUUGUAAACGCGAGAAGAGCAUUUAACUAAAAAGUAAGGAAGGGAACUCAAAACUGGGAUUGAGGAGAAAAUGUUUAAGGUCUUGGCUCAUUCAUCGAGAAAUGAAUUAAGGCUGCUUAACGCGAAUGUCUUUCUCCUCUGUUGUGGUUAUUAAAGUAAGGACUGUACUGGCAGCUGCAUACACAUUUUAGGAAGAGAGAAAGAGAGAGACAGAGCUUGAGCGGGGGAGGGGCAGAGAGAGAGGGAAACACAGAAUCUGAAGCAGGCUCCAGGCUCCCAGCUGUCAGCACAGAGCCCGACGUGGGGCUCGAACUCACGGACUGCGAGAUCAUGACCUGAGCUGAAGUCAGACGCUCAACUGACUGAGCCACCCAGGCACCCCGGUAUAAAUCUUAUAAAACAUGGGAAUUAAACUGAAAUCAGUAAAACACUGAUGAAAGAUAUCAAAGGAAAUAUAUGAAGUUGCAGAUUAGUGAAGAAAAGCUAUUACUGUUUUUCAAAACAGACCAAAGUGGAUUCACUCUAUCCUCUCUUUUAUGGUGGGCCUUGGCCACAUUACUAUGAAGUCCACUCAGUAAAGAAGUUCUGCUCCAGGACAGAACAAACUCCACAAAUAAAGGAAGAGAAGAGGCCUCAUCAAAGAAGGAAUCCCAGAAGAAAACAAGAGGGAAAAGGAAGCAGAAAAUUUAUUUUAAGGAAUAAUAGUAGAAAACUUCCCUAAUCUGAGGAAUGAAACAGACAUCCAGAUCCAGGAAGCACAGAGAACUCCCAUCAAAGCAACAAAAGUGGGCCAACACCAAGACAUGUUGUAUAUAAAUUUGCAAAAUAUAGUGAUACAGAAAAUAAUCUUAAAAGCAGCAUGACAAAAGUAGUCCGUCACUUACAAGGGAAAACUCAUAAGACUAGGUAGAGAUUUCUCAACAGGAAUUUGGCAAGUCAGAAGGGAGUGGCAUAAUAUAUUCCAAGUGCUGAAUAAGAAAAAUCUGCAGACUUGGAGAGAUAAAGACAAACAAAAACUAAAGGCAUCCAUGACUACUAAACCAGCCCUGCAAGAAAUAUUAAAAGAGAUCUUUGAGUGGGAAAGAAAGUCCAAAAGUGAAAAAGAUAAGGAUGAGGGAAAUCUUCAGGAACAAUGACAAAACAAGUAGUAAAAUGGCACUAAAUACAUAUAUACCAAUAAUUACUUUGAAUGGAAAUGGAUUAAACAUUCCAAACAAAAGACAUAGGGUGUCAGAAUGGAUUAAAAAACAAGACCCAUCUAUAUGCUGCUUGCAAGAGACUCAUUUUAGACCUAAAGACACCUGCUAAUUGAAAGUGAGGGGAUGGAGAGGGGCGCCUGGGUGGCUCACUUGGUUGAGCAUCUGACUCUUGAUUUCAACUUAGGUUGUGAGCCCGGGGUCAUGGGAUCAAGCUCUGCACUGGGCUCCUUAUUGAGCAUGGAGCCUGCUUAAGAUUCUCUAUCUCCCUUGCUUGUGUUCUCUCUCUCUCUCUCAAAUAAUAAUAACAAUAACAAUAAUAAUAAUAAUAAUAAUAAUAAUAAAAGAAACUGAGGGGAUGGGGAAAUAUUUACCACAUAAAUGGAUGUCAAAACAAAGCUGGAAUAGCAAUACUUAUAUUGGGAAAACUAGAUUUUAAAACAAAGAUGUAACAAGAGACAAAGAAGGGUACUAUAUUAUAAUAAAGGGGACAAUCCAAUAAGAAGAUCUAACAAUUGUAAAUAUUUAUGCCCCCAACUUGAAACACCCAAAUAUAUAAAUCAAUUAAUAAUAAACAUAAACGAACCAAUUGAAAAUAAUACAAUAAUAGUAGGGACUUUAACACUACACUUACAUUGACGGAAAGAUAAUCUGAACAGAAAAUCAACAAAGAAACAAUGGUUUUGAAUGACACACCGGACCAGAGAGACUUAACAGAUAUAUUCAGAGCAUUCCAUCCUGAAACAGCAGAAUACAUGUAUUUUUCAAGUGCACUUGGGGCAUUCCCCAGAAUAGAUCACUUAUUAGGUCACAAAUCUGGCCUUCACAAAAACAAAAAGAUUUAAAUUACACCACACAUCUUCUGUGACCACAACACUGUGACACUAGAAGUCAACCACAAGAAAAAAUUUGGAAAAACCACAAAUACAUGGAGUUUAAAUAAUAUGCUACUAAACAAUGAAUGGGUCAACCAGGAAAUCAAAGAAAUAAAAAAAUACACAGAAACAUAUGAAAAUGAAAACACAAUGGUCCAAAACGAUUGGGAUGCAACAAAAGCAACCCUAAGAGAGAAGAAUAUAGCAAAGAGGUCUACCUCAAGAAGCAAGAAAAAUCUCAAACAACCUAAACUUAUACCUAAAGGAGCUGUGAAGAGAACAACAGAGAAGCCUAAAGCCAGUAGGAGAAAGGAAAUAAUAAAGAUUAGAGCAGAAAUAAAUAAUAUAGGAACUAAAAAAACAAUAGAUCAACAAAACCAGGAACUGGUUCUCUGAAAAAAAAAUCAAUAAAAUUGAUAAACCUCUAGUCAGACUUACCAAAGAGAAAAAACCAAGGACCCAAAUUAAUAAAAUUACAAAUGAAAGAGGAGAAAUAACAACCAACACCACAGAAAUACAAACAUUUGUAAGAGAAUAUUAUGAAAAACUAUAUGCCAACAAAUCUGACAACCUGGAAGAAAUGGAUAAAUUCUUAGAAACAAAUAAACUACCAAAACUAAAACAGGAAGAAACAGUGAACUUUAACAGACCAAUAUCCAGCAAUGAAAUUGAAUCAGUAAUCAAAAAACUCCCAUCAAACAGAAGUCUGGGACCAGAUGGCCUCACAGGUGAAUUCUACUAAACAUUUAAAUAAGAGUUAAUAUCUAUUCUCAAACUGUUCCAAAAAAAUAGAAAAGGAGAGGAAACUUCCAAAUUCAUUAUAUGAGCCCAGCAUUACCCUGAUACCAAAACCAGAGAAAGACUCCACUAAGGGGAGCUUGGUUGACUCAGUUGGUUAAGCGUCCAGCUCUUGAUUUUGGCUCAGGUCAUGAUCUCAUGGUCGUGAGAUUGAGCCCCCAUGUCGGGAUCUGUGCUGGGUGUGGAGACUGCUUGAGAUUUUCGCUCUCCCUCUGCCCCUUCUGUGCUCAUUCUCUCUCUCUCUCUCUCUUUCUCUUUCUCUCUCAAAAACAAAAACAAAAACAAAAACAAAACUCCACUAAAACAGAACUAAUGGCCAAUAUCCCUGAAGAACAUGGAUGCAAAAUUCUCAAUAAAAUACUUGCAAACCAAAUCCAACAAUAAAUUAAAAAAAAAUCAUUCACCAUAAUCAAGUAGAAUUUAUUCCUGGCUUGCAAGCAUGACUCCAUAUUUGCAAAUCAAUUAAUGUGAUACAGCACAUUAAUAAAAUAAAGGAUAAGAACAGUAUUAUCCUUUCAAUAGUUGCAUAAAAAGCAUUUGAUAAAGUAUAACAUCCAUUUUUGAUAAAAACUCUCAACAAAGUUGGCUCAGAGGGAACAUGCCUCAGCAUAAGAAAGGCCAUGUAUGGGGGCACCUGGGUGGCUCAGUUGGUUAAGCAUCCAACUCUUGAUUUCAGCUAAGGUCAUGAUCUCAUGGUUUGUGAGUUUGAGCCCCACAUCCAGUUCCAUGCUGACAGUGCUGAGCCUUCCAGGGAUCCUCUCUCUCCCUCUCCCACUGCCCCUUCCACCCCCCCUUUCAAAUAUAAAUAAAAUUUAAAAAAAGAAAGGCUAUAUAUGAAAAAUCCAUAGCUAAUAUCAUCCUCAAUGAGAAAAAUCUGAGAGCAUUUCUUCUACAGUCAGGAACAAGACAAGGAUGUCCACUCUCACCACUGUUAUUUAACAUAGCCCUAGACACUGCAAUCAGCCAAAGAGACGAAAAUGAUCCAAAUUGACAAAGAAGAGGGGGUAUCUGGGUGGAUCAGUUGGUUAAGCACCUGACUCUUGAUUUGGCUUACGUCAUGAUCUUGUGAUUUGUGAGAUCAAGCCCUGUGACAGCAUAGAGCCUGCUUGGGAUUUUCUGUCUCCCUCUCUCUCUGCCUCUUGCCUCCUGUCUGUCUCAAAAUAAAUAAAUAAACUUUAAAAAAAUUGGCAAGGAAGAAGUAAAACUUUCCCCAUUUGCAGAUGAUGUGAUACUACAUAUAAAAAACCCAAAAGACUUCACCAAAAAACUGCUAGAGCUGAUAAAUGAAUUUAGUAAUUUUGCAGGAUACAAAACCAACAUACAGAAAUCUGUUACAUUUUUUUAUACCAAUAAUGAAGCAGCAGAAAGAGAAAAUAAAGAAUCAAUCCCAUUUAUGAUUGCACCAAAACAAAAGAUCCCUAGAAUAAACCUAACAAAAGGGGUGAAAGAAUUGUACUCUGAAAAGUAUAAAACACUGAUGAAAGAAAUUGAAGAUGACAUAAAGAAAUGGAAAGAUGUUCCAUGCUCACAGAUUAGAAGAAUAAAUAUUGUUAAAAUGUUUAUACUACCCAAAGCAAUCUACACAUUUAAUGCAAUCCCUAUCAAAAUACCAACAGCAUUUUUCACAGAGCUAGAACAAUCUUUAAAUUUAUAUGGAACCACAAUGACCUGAAUAGCCAAACAACCUUGAAAAAGAGAAAGCAAAAUUUGAGGCAUCAUAAUUCUAGACUUCAGGUUAUAUUACAAAGCUGCAGUGAUUGUAAAAGUAUGGUAUUGGCAGAAAAAUAGAUUCAUAGAUCAAUAGAACAGAAUAGAAAACCCAGAAAUGAACCCGCAACUAUAUGGUCAACUAAUCUUUGACAAAGGAAGGAAUAUACAAUGGAAAAAAGACAGUCUCUUCAACAAAUGGUAUUGGGAAAACUGGAUAGCAACAUGCAAAAGAAUGAAACUGGACCACUUUCUUAUACUAUACAUAAAAAUAGACUCAAAAUGGAUUAAAGAUCUAAAUGUGCGACCUGAAACAAUAAAACCCUAGAGAAGAACAUGAGCAGUAACCUCUUUGACAUUGGCCAUAGCAACUUUUUUCUAGAUAUGUCUCCUGUGGCAAGAGAAACAUAAGCAAAAAUGAACUGUUGGGACUUCAUCAAAAUAAAAAUAUUCUGCUCAGCAAAGGAAACAAUCAACAAAACUAAAAGGAAACUAUGGAAUGGGAGAAGAUAUUUGA